rnacentral:rRNA from 1 species
UUCCAGCUCCAGUAGCGUAUAUUAUUACUGUUGUAGUUAAAAAGCUCGUAGUUGAAUAUCUGGCGUUGGGAAGCCCUGCCCGCCGCGAUUCGCGUGUGAGUUGUGGGGCGUCCCCGCCAUCCUGUGUGGGAGCCCGCCUACCCUUCAUUGGGCCGGGCGGUGCGAGCACACUCAGUUACUUUGAGAAAAUCUGCGCGUUCAAAGCAGGCACACGCUAUGAAAGCUUCAGCAUGGAAUAACAAGAUAGGACCUGGGUCUCUAUUUUGUUGGUUUCUAGGAUCGAGGUGAUGAUUGAUAGGGACAGUUGGGGGUGCUUGUAUUUAACGGCCAGAGGUGAAAUUCUUGGAUUCGUUAAAGACAAACUACUGCGAAAGCAUUCACCAAGGAUGUCUUCAUCA